UCAUUAAGAAGCUAUGAAUCAGCAUUAGCCUUUUAAGCUAAAGAAAGAGGGGUCCCUCCCUCCUUAAUGGU
rnacentral:tRNA from 1 species